UACGGGGGGGGGCAAGCGUUGUUCGGAAUUACUGGGCGUAAAGGGCUCGUAGGCGGCCAACUAAGUCAGACGUGAAAUCCCUCGGCUUAACCGGGGAACUGCCUCUGAUACUGGAUGGCUUGAGAUUGGGAGAGGGAUGCGGAAUUCCAGGUGUAGCGGUGAAAUGCGUAGAUAUCUGGAGGAACACCGAUGGCGAAGGCAGCCCCCUGGGUUAACACUGACGCUCAUGCACGAAAGCGUGGGGAGCAAACAGG
rnacentral:rRNA from 1 species